rnacentral:rRNA from 1 species
UACAGAGGGUGCGAGCGUUGUCCGGAAUCACUGGGCGUAAAGGGCGCGUAGGCGGUUUUGUAAGUUGGGGGUGAAAUGCUGCGGCUCAACCGCAGCGCUGCCCUCAAGACUGCAAGACUGGAGCACGGUAGAGGCGGAUGGAAUUCCCGGUGUAGCGGUGGAAUGCGUAGAGAUCGGGAAGAACACCAAUGGCGAAGGCAGUCCGCUGGGCCGUUGCUGACGCUGAGGCGCGACAGCGUGGGGAGCAAACAGG